rnacentral:rRNA from 1 species
AAGAUAAUGACUGUAGCAGGUAAAGAAACCCCGGCUAACUCCGUGCCAGCAGCCGCGGUAAUACGGAGGGGGUUAGCGUUGUUCGGAAUUACUGGGCGUAAAGCGCGCGUAGGCGGACUGGAAAGUUGGGGGUGAAAUCCCAGGGCUCAACCCUGGAACUGCCUCCAAAACUAUCAGUCUAGAGUUCGAGAGAGGUGAGUGGAAUUCCGAGUGUAGAGGUGAAAUUCGUAGAUAUUCGGAGGAACACCAGUGGCGAAGGCGGCUCACUGGCUCGAUACUGACGCUGAGGUGCGAAAGUGUGGGGAGCAAACAGGAUUAGAUACCCUGGUAGUCCACACCGUAAACGAUGAAUGCCAGUCGUCGGGUAGCAUGCUAUUCGGUGACACACCUAACGGAUUAAGCAUUCCGCCUGGGGAGUACGGUCGCAAGAUUAAAACUCAAAUGAAUUGACGG